rnacentral:rRNA from 1 species
UAGGGAAUCUUCCACAAUGGGCGCAAGUCUGAUGGAGCAACACCGCGUGAGUGAAGAAGGGUUUCGGCUCGUAAAGCUCUGUUGUUAAAGAAGAACGUGGGUAAGAGUAACUGUUUACCCAGUGACGGUAUUUAACCAGAAAGCCACGGCUAACUACGUGCCAG